rnacentral:rRNA from 1 species
AUGAAGAUGAACCUCCCCAGAUGGCGGCAGUCCUGCAGUUGUGCGUCGACGAACUCUGCUUGGUGUACCACAUCGCAGCGGCCACAAAAUGAUGAGCCCAAGCGCCUGACCGACAUGCUGCAGCAUGACAAGUUGUUCACAUUUGCCGGUUUCAACAUUGAAAGCGACAAAGAGAAGCUGAAGUUGUCCCGUAUGGAGAUCAACCCCAACAAGUUCAUCGACAUUCAGCGCAAGUGGAGAGUUCCAUACACCGGAAAAGAGUACGACUCCUUGACUGAUGUUGCAGCCAGCGUCAUCCACCCAUUCUACAAAGGCAUGAAGAACAAGAUCAACACGCAGGAAGACUACAAACUGUGGGGGACAAGCGAGCUGCCAGACAACCUCAUCGAGUACGCAGGAGUAGAUGCGUACGCCGCGUAUAAGUCAUGGUUCAUGAUCGACUACAUCACAGAUGGUUCGGAAUUUGCGAAAGAGCGGGAGGCUAACAACUUCUACGACCACCCCUAUUGCCCCUUUACGGGAUGA